UACGUAGGGUGCGAGCGUUAAUCGGAAUUACUGGGCGUAAAGCGUGCGCAGGCGGUUCGCUGUGUCCUGUGUGAAAGCCCCGGGCUUAACCUGGGAAUGGCAUGGGAAACUGGCGGGCUGGAGUGUGGCAGAGGGGGGUGGAAUUCCGCGUGUAGCAGUGAAAUGCGUAGAGAUGCGGAGGAACACCGAUGGCGAAGGCAGCCCCCUGGGCUAACACUGACGCUCAGGCACGGAAGCGUGGGGAGCAAACAGG
rnacentral:rRNA from 1 species